GCUAAUGUGUCUCGGCUAAAGUGGCUUGGCUAAUGUGUCUUGGCUAAUGUGUCUUGGCUAAGGUGUCUUGGCUAAUGUGUCUUGGCUAAGGUGUCUUGGCUAAUGUGUCUUUGCUAAGGUGUCUUGGCUAAUGUGUCUUGGCUAAGGUGUCUUGGCUAAUGUGUCUUGGCUAAGGUGUCUUGGCUAAGGUGUCUUGGCUAAUGUGUCUCGGCUAAGGUGUCUUGGCUAAUGUGUCUUGGCUAAUGUGUCUCGGCUAAUGUGUCUUUGCUAAUGUGUCUUGGCUAAGGUGUCUUGGCUAAGGUGUCCUGGCUAAUGUGUCUUGGCUAAGGUGUCUUGGCUAAGGUGUCUUGGCUAAUGUGUCUUGGCUAAGGUGUCUUGGCUAAUGUGUCUUGGCUAAUGUGUCUUGGCUAAUGUGUCUCGGCUAAAGUGUCUUGGCUAAUGUGUCUUGGCUAAUGUGUCUUGGCUAAGGUGUCUUGGCUAAUGUGUCUUGGCUAAUGUGUCUUGGAUAAUGUGUCUUGGCUAAUGUGUCUUGGCUAAGGUGUCUUGGCUAAUGUGCCUUGGCUAAGGUGUCUUGGCUAAGGUGUCUUGGCUAAUGUGUCUUUGCUAAGGUGUCUUGGCUAAUGUGUCUUGGCUCAUGUGUCUUGGCUAAUGUGUCUUGGCUAAGGUGUCUUGGCUAAGGUGUCUUGGCUAAGGUGUCUUGGCUAAGGUGUCUUGGCUAAUGUGUCUUGGCUAAUGUGUCUUGGCUAAUGUGUCUCUGCUAAUGUGUCUUGGCUAAUGUGUCUUGGCUAAAGUGUCUUGGCUAAUGUGUCUUGGCUAAUGUGUCUUGGCUAAGGUGUCUUGGCUAAUGUGUCUUGGCUAAGGUGUCUUGGCUAAUGUGUCUUGGCUAAGGUGUCUUGGCUAAUGUGUCUUUGCUAAGGUGUCUUGGCUAAUGUGUCUUGGCUAAGGUGUCUUGGCUAAUGUGUCUUGCCUAAGGUGUCUUGGCUAAGGUGUCUUGGCUAAUGUGUCUCGGCUAAGGUGUCUUGGCUAAUGUGUCUUGGCUAAUGUGUCUCGGCUAAUGUGUCUUUGCUAAUGUGUCUUGGCUAAGGUGUCUUGGCUAAGGUGUCCUGGCUAAUGUGUCUUGGCUAAGGUGUCUUGGCUAAGGUGUCUUGGCUAAUGUGUCUUGGCUAAGGUGUCUUGGCUAAUGUGUCUUGGCUAAUGUGUCUUGGCUAAUGUGUCUCGGCUAAAGUGUCUUGGCUAAGGUGUCUUGGCUAAUGUGUCUUGGCUAAGGUGUCUUGGCUAAUGUGUCUUGGCUAAUGUGUCUUGGAUAAUGUGUCUUGGCUAAUGUGUCUUGGCUAAGGUGUCUUGGCUAAUGUGCCUUGGCUAAGGUGUCUUGGCUAAGGUGUCUUGGCUAAUGUGUCUUUGCUAAGGUGUCUUGGCUAAUGUGUCUUGGCUCAUGUGUCUUUGCUAAGGUGUCUUGGCUAAUGUGUCUUGGCUAAGGUGUCUUGGCUAAUGUGUCUUGCCUAAGGUGUCUUGGCUAAGGUGUCUUGGCUAAUGUGUCUCGGCUAAGGUGUCUUGGCUAAUGUGUCUUGGCUAAUGUGUCUCGGCUAAUGUGUCUUUGCUAAUGUGUCUUGGCUAAGGUGUCUUGGCUAAGGUGUCCUGGCUAAUGUGUCUUGGCUAAGGUGUCUUGGCUAAGGUGUCUUGGCUAAUGUGUCUUGGCUAAGGUGUCUUGGCUAAUGUGUCUUGGCUAAGGUGUCUUGGCUAAGGUGUCUUGGCUAAGGUGUCUUGGCUAAGGUGUCUUGGCUAAUGUGUCUUGGCUAAUGUGUCUUGGCUAAUGUGUCUCUGCUAAUGUGUCUUGGCUAAUGUGUCUUGGCUAAUGUGCCUUGGCUAAGGUGUCUUGGCUAAGGUGUCUUGGCUAAUGUGUCUUGGCUAAGGUGUCUUGGCUAAUGUGUCUUGCCUAAGGUGUCUUGGCUAAGGUGUCUUGGCUAAUGUGUCUCGGCUAAGGUGUCUUGGCUAAUGUGUCUUGGCUAAUGUGUCUCGGCUAAUGUGUCUUUGCUAAUGUGUCUUGGCUAAGGUGUCUUGGCUAAGGUGUCCUGGCUAAUGUGUCUUGGCUAAGGUGUCUUGGCUAAGGUGUCUUGGCUAAUGUGUCUUGGCUAAGGUGUCUUGGCUAAUGUGUCUUGGCUAAGGUGUCUUGGCUAAGGUGUCUUGGCUAAGGUGUCUUGGCUAAGGUGUCUUGGCUAAUGUGUCUUGGCUAAUGUGUCUUGGCUAAUGUGUCUCUGCUAAUGUGUCUUGGCUAAUGUGUCUUGGCUAAUGUGCCUUGGCUAAGGUGUCUUGGCUAAGGUGUCUUGGCUAAUGUGUCUUGGCUAAGGUGUCUUGGCUAAUGUGUCUUGGCUAAGGUGUCUUGGCUAAGGUGUCUUGGCUAAUGUGUCUCGGCUAAGGUGUCUUGGCUAAUGUGUCUUGGCUAAUGUGUCUCGGCUAAUGUGUCUUUGCUAAUGUGUCUUGGCUAAGGUGUCUUGGCUAAGGUGUCCUGGCUAAUGUGUCUUGGCUAAUGUGUCUUGGCUAAAGUGUCUUGGCUAAGGUGUCUUGGCUAAGGUGUCUUGGCUAAUGUGUCUUGGCUAAGGUGUCUCGGCUAAUGUGUCUUGGCUAAAGUGUCUUGGCUAAUGUGUCUCGGCUAAUGUGUCUUGGCUAAGGUGUCUUGGCUAACGUGUCUUGGCUAAGGUGUCUUGGCUAAUGUGUCUUGGCUAAGGUGUCUUGGCUAAGGUGUCUUGGCUAAUGUGUCUUGGCUAAUGUGUCUUGGCUAAGGUGUCUUGGCUAAUGUGUCUUGGCUAAGGUGUCUUGGCUAAGGUGUCUUGGCUAAGGUGUCUUGGCUAAGGUGUCUUGGCUAAUGUGUCUUUACUAAGGUGUCUUGGCUAAUGUGUCUUGGCUAAGGUGUCUUGGCUAAUGUGUCUCGGCUAAGGUGUCUUGGCUAAUGUGUCUUGGCUAAUGUGUCUCGGCUAAUGUGUCUUUGCUAAUUUGUCUUGGCUAAGGUGUCUUGGCUAAAGUGUCUUGGCUAAGGUGUCUUGGCUAAGGUGUCUUGGCUAAUGUGUCUUGGCUAAGGUGUCUCGGCUAAUGUGUCUUGGCUAAAGUGUCUUGGCUAAUGUGUCUCGGCUAAUGUGUCUUGGCUAAGGUGUCUUGGCUAAGGUGUCUUGGCUAAGGUGUCUUGGCUAAUGUGUCUUGGCUAAUGUGUCUUGGCUAAUGUGUCUUGGCUAAUGUUUCUUGGCUAAGGUGUCUUGGCUAAUGUGUCUUGGCUAAGGUGUCUUGGCUAAGGUGUCUUGGCUAAGGUGUCUUGGCUAAGGUGUCUUGGCUAAGGUGUCUUGGCUAAGGUGUCUUGGCUAAGUUGUCUUGGCUAAUGUGUCUUGGCUAAUGUGUCUCGGCUAAUGUGUCUUUGCUAAUGUGUCUUGGCUAAGGUGUCUUGGCUAAGGUGUCCUGGCUAAUGUGUCUUGGCUAAUGUGUCUUGGCUAAAGUGUCUUGGCUAAGGUGUCUUGGCUAAGGUGUCUUGGCUAAUGUGUCUUGGCUAAGGUGUCUCGGCUAAUGUGUCUUGGCUAAAGUGUCUUGGCUAAUGUGUCUCGGCUAAUGUGUCUUGGCUAAGGUGUCUUGGCUAAGGUGUCUUGGCUAAUGUGUCUUGGCUAAGGUGUCUUGGCUAAGGUGUCUUGGCUAAGGUGUCUUGGCUAAGGUGUCUUGGCUAAGGUGUCUUGGCUAAUGUGUCUUGGCUAAGGUGUCUUGGCUAAUGUGUCUUGGCUAAGGUGUCUUGGCUAAUGUGUCUUGGCUAAGGUGUCUUGGCUAAGGUGUCUUGGCUAAGGUGUCUUGGCUAAGGUGUCUUUACUAAAGUGUCUUGGCUAAUGUGUCUUGGCUAAAGUGUCUUGGCUAAGGUGUCUUGGCUAAGGUGUCUUGGCUAAGGUGUCUUGGCUAAUGUGUCUUGGCUAAUGUGUCUUGGCUAAUGUGUCUUGGCUAAUGUGUCUUGGCUAAUGUGUCUUGGCUAAGGUGUCUUGGCUAAUGUGCCUUGGCUAAUGUGUCUUGGCUAAGGUGUCUCGGCUAAUGUGUCUUGGCUAAAGUGUCUUGGCUAAUGUGUCUCGGCUAAUGUGUCUUGGCUAAGGUGUCUUGGCUAAGGUGUCUUGGCUAAGGUGUCUUGGCUAAUGUGUCUUGGCUAAUGUGUCUUGGCUAAUGUGUCUUGGCUAAUGUUUCUUGGCUAAGGUGUCUUGGCUAAUGUGUCUUGGCUAAGGUGUCUUGGCUAAGGUGUCUUGGCUAAGGUGUCUUGGCUAAGGUGUCUUGGCUAAGGUGUCUUGGCUAAGGUGUCUUGGCUAAGUUGUCUUGGCUAAUGUGUCUUGGCUAAUGUGUCUCGGCUAAUGUGUCUUUGCUAAUGUGUCUUGGCUAAGGUGUCUUGGCUAAGGUGUCCUGGCUAAUGUGUCUUGGCUAAUGUGUCUUGGCUAAAGUGUCUUGGCUAAGGUGUCUUGGCUAAGGUGUCUUGGCUAAUGUGUCUUGGCUAAUGUGUCUUGGCUAAUGUGUCUUGGCUAAGGUGUCUUGGCUAAGGUGUCUUGGCUAAGGUGUCUUGGCUAAGGUGUCUUGGCUAAGGUGUCUUGGCUAAUGUGUCUUGGCUAAGGUGUCUUGGCUAAUGUGUCUUGGCUAAGGUGUCUUGGCUAAUGUGUCUUGGCUAAGGUGUCUUGGCUAAGGUGUCUUGGCUAAGGUGUCUUGGCUAAGGUGUCUUUACUAAAGUGUCUUGGCUAAUGUGUCUUGGCUAAAGUG